rnacentral:sRNA from 1 species
UCGGUUUGAAGAACAGACGUGUACAAGGUAGUUUAUUAAAGCAGUUCUCAUUUCAGGUAUUAUAUAUUUAUCCCUUCUUUGAGUCUCUCCACUAAGCACGAAGUAGUUUCUGUAAUAAAACCAUCUAUGCCGAAAGGCUCAAAUUAAGGAAUAAAAAUAUGUCUAAUAAGAUGACUGGUUUAGUAAAAUGGUUUAAUGCUGAUAAGGGUUUCGGAUUUAUCUCUCCUGUUGAUGGCAGUAAAGAUGUGUUUGUUCAUUUCUCUGCUAUCCAGAGUGAUAAUUAUCGCACCCUGUUUGAAGGACAAAAAGUAACAUUCUCUAUUGAAAAUGGUGCUAAAGGUCCGGUUGCUGCUAACGUAGUCACC